AGCUUCCACUUCUUGCUUGUAGGAAGGUAAUGGCUGUUGAAUACGGGCAGCUAACUUUAGACCAGCAUGCUCUGAGAACCCGAAGCUUAGUGCAGAGGCUGAGCAGUAUCAGGACCUUUAACAUAUAUUGAAGAAGCCUCUGGGAGUCCAGGGCAGCCCACUUUCAGCUCUAAUGUCACUGCAGCUGCAUGGCAGACCUCAGGAUACCUGGCUGCCUAUUUUCCAAGAACGGGGCUGCAGUCAACUCCACCUGGUAGUCCAACAAGACUCAGCACCUGCUGCUCUUCUCAUCACACCCUUGUGAUCUCACUGUCACCAAGUCUCACCAGCUCAGGAGCAUGAGGCCCUGGAUGCCUGAGAGUUCCAGCUAAUGAAGUACCGGGUGACUGAGAGCUGACUGCACUGUGUAGAUAUGAAAAGUAUGCAGACAGAGAAAAUGGAUCCUCUCCGUGCUGGUGAGAGCAGAAGAACAGUGAGGUCAAACUGAGCAAAAUUAAAAUAUACAAACACUUGACCCAUGGAAUUCCUUUUUCAGGAAUUUACCUUAUGGAUAACCCUCACAGGCAGGGAAUCAUGUACACAUUAGCAUUGCUUGUAAGAACAGAUGUUGGAAACAAUUAAAAUGUUCCUCAAUAGGGGCAGUUCAAUAAAACAUGAUAAAUGUC